rnacentral:rRNA from 1 species
GAUGAACGCUGGCGGCGUGCCUAAUACAUGCAAGUCGAGCGAACAGAUAAGGGGCUUGCUCCUUUGACGUUAGCGGCGGACGGGUGAGUAACACGUGGGUAACCUACCUAUAAGACUGGGAUAACUUCGGGAAACCGGAGCUAAUACCGGAUAAUAUUUCGAACCGCAUGGUUCGAUAGUGAAAGAUGGUUUUGCUAUCACUUAUAGAUGGACCCGCGCCGUAUUAGCUAGUUGGUAAGGUAACGGCUUACCAAGGCGACGAUACGUAGCCGACCUGAGAGGGUGAUCGGCCACACUGGAACUGAGACACGGUCCAGACUCCUACGGGAGGCAGCAGUAGGGAAUCUUCCGCAAUGGGCGAAAGCCUGACGGAGCAACGCCGCGUGAGUGAUGAAGGUCUUCGGAUCGUAAAACUCUGUUAUUAGGGAAGAACAUACGUGUAAGUAACUGUGCACGUCUUGACGGUACCUAAUCAGAAAGCCACGGCUAACUACGUG